AUGCCUUCUGAAUUGAGGCUUGCUUACUCUCUAUCUCUAACCCUGCACCUCUCAUUCUCUCUCUAUAUAACUCCCUAUAUAAAUCUCCCUCCAUUUCUAUAACGUAUUUUCUCCAUUUUUCUUAUACACAAUCGGAAAAAAUGGCUACCGAAGGUUCCAAGCCCAGCGUUUACCUUCAAGACAUGGAAGAAGUGAAAAAAGUAUUUGCACGCUUCGACGCCAACGGCGACGGAAUGAUCUCCGGCGAUGAACUUUCCGGCGUACUCAAAGCCCUAGGAUCCGACACUUCGCCGGAGGAAGUUGCACGUAUGAUGGCAGAAAUCGAUACCGACAAGGACGGUUGCAUUAACAUAGAUGAAUUUGCAGAUUUUUGCAAAAACGACGAUUCCGUCGACGGCGGCGCUAAGGAACUGAAGGAGGCGUUUGAUCUUUACGAUCAGGACCAUAACGGAAGGAUUUCUGCUACGGAGCUUCAUCAGAUCCUGAACCGUUUGGGCCAGAAUUGUACAAUUCAGGAUUGUACCAGAAUGAUCACGUCCGUUGAUGCCAACGGUGACGGCUACGUUUGCUUUGAAGAGUUUAAGAAGAUGAUGGGUAAUAAAUAAACCAUUUUCUCUUUGUUGUAACUUUUUCAGUUAUUUGAGCGGCUGAUAACGGUGAGGUACCGGAUAUUCGUGCGUCCUUCUGUAGUGUAUAACUUUGUGGUCUAAUAAAUAGCAAGACCUUAGCUUUCGAUCGGCUUU